GCUGUCGUCAGCUCGUGUCGUGAGAUGUUGGGUUAAGUCCCGUAACGAGCGCAACCCUUAUCCUUAGUUGCCAGCAUGUGAUGGUGGGGACUCUAAGGAGACUGCCGGUGACAAACCGGAGGAAGGCGGGGAUGACGUCAAGUCAUCAUGGCCCUUACGGGUAGGGCUACACACGUGCUACAAUGGCCGAUACAGAGGGCGGCGAAGGGGCGACCUGGAGCAAAUCCUUAAAAGUCGGUCGUAGUCCGGAUUGGAGUCUGCAACUCGACUCCAUGAAGUCGGAAUCGCUAGUAAUCGCGAAUCAGCAUGUCGCGGUGAAUACGUUCCCGGGCCUUGUACACACCGCCCGUCACACCAUGGGAGUGGGUUGCACCAGAAGUAGAUAGUCUAACCUUCGGGGGGACGUUUACCACGGUGUGGUUCAUGACUGGGGUGAAGUCGUAACAAGGUAGCCGUAGGGGAACCUGCGGCUGGAUCACCUCCUUA
rnacentral:rRNA from 1 species